rnacentral:piRNA from 1 species
UGGUUUCGGUGCUGCUCAACUUCUUUGUU